CCUACGGGAGGCAGCAGUGAGGAAUAUUGGUCAAUGGGCGCGAGCCUGAACCAGCCAAGCCGCGUGAAGGAUGAAGGCCCUACGGGUUGUAAACUUUUUUUAUAAAGGAAUAAAGUGAGGCACGUGUGCCUUUUUGUAUGUACUUUAUCAAUAAGGAUCGGCUAACUCCGUGCCAGCAGCCGCGGUAAUAUGGAGGAUCCGAGGGUUACGCGGAUUUAGUGGGUUUAAAGGGAGCGUAGAUGGGUUGUUAUGUCAGUUGUGAAAGUUUGCGGCUCAACCGUAAAAUUGCAAUUGAUCCUGGCAGUCUGGAGUACAGUUGAGGUAGGCGGAAUUCGUGGUGUAGCGGUGAAAUGCGUAGAUAUCACGAAGAACUCCGAUUGCGAAGGCAGCUUACUAGACUGCCACUGACAUUGAUGCUCGAAAGUGUGGGUAUCAAACAGGAUUAGAUACCCGUGUAGUC
rnacentral:rRNA from 1 species